rnacentral:rRNA from 1 species
GACGAACGCUGGCGGCGUGCUUAACGCAUGCAAGUCGAACGGAAAGGCCCUGCUUUUGUGGGGUGCUCGAGUGGCGAACGGGUGAGUAACACGUGAGUAACCUGCCCUUGACUUUGGGAUAACUUCAGGAAACUGGGGCUAAUACCGGAUAGGAGCUCCUGCUGCAUGGUGGGGGUUGGAAAGUUUCGGCGGUUGGGGAUGGACUCGCGGCUUAUCAGCUUGUUGGUGGGGUAGUGGCUUACCAAGGCUUUGACGGGUAGCCGGCCUGAGAGGGUGACCGGCCACAUUGGGACUGAGAUACGGCCCAGACUCCUACGGGAGGCAGCAGUGGGGAAUAUUACACAAUGGGCGGAAGCCUGAUGCAGCAACGCCGCGUGCGGGAUGACGGCCUUCGGGUUGUAAACCGCUUUCGCCUGUGACGAAGCGUGAGUGACGGUAAUGGGUAAAGAAGCACCGGCUAACUACGUG